UUUUCCCCCAGGGUAAGGAGGCCAGGGUCUGCAGGCCAGGGAGAGGAGCCCCGGUGCAGGAGCGGGCGGGGCAGCAGGAGGGCCCGCUCCAGCCACCCAGAAGUGGGCGUGGGCUAGAAUUCCGCUCCCAGCCUUCCAGAAGCUGCAAUUUUACAACCUCACAACAAGCGUCCCCUAGCAAAGCUGCACCGCCAUUUCCUGUGCUUGGGAACUGGAGGCAAGGAGAAGCCCGCAGGAGAGGUGCCGUGGGAGCAGCACAGCAGGUGACCGCGUCCUCUCUUCUCUGGUAGACAUGGUGGAGUGCAGCCAGUUGGCCAUCUGCACAGCCAGGCCUCUUGGUCCCACCUUCUUGGUCCUGAUUCCCCCAGCCCCAAGGCCCCCGGGGGUUCCAGUGCUAACAGAUAAGUAGAUCUGAAGUCAUCUUGGCGAUGUGGGGAGGAGGAGGAGGGAGGACAAAGAUACAUAAGAAGUGUUUUCCCCACAUCACAUUUUUAUGCCUUACAUUUGAUUUCCUCGGAAUCACAUUUUUAUUCCUAAAAAACUCCACUUUUAUUCCUUUGAUACAAAAUAACAGCUAAUAACAGCUUUAAAUUCUCAGGCGUGUGUUUAUAAGUUGGUUUAAUGAGGGACAAUUUACCAAGCAAUGAGGUCGGGUUGAGAAUGGGAGCUGGAAGCAUCUCCUCUGAGGGGCGAGGGGAGGGAAUGUGCACCAGGCCCUGCAGGGAUGGGGAGGAACCAACAGCUUCCUCCUUCCCACCCUCUGAUCUCCUGCCAGGGACCCCAUGGAUCGCAACUAGAGGUCAGAGGCUUGGGAGCUGGGAGCUGGGAGGAUGCAGAGUAGGGGAGGAGGGAUGUGGACUCCCGGUCCAAGCCAGGACCUCCAGCAGGAGAGGAGCUGCUUCAGAGGGCAGUGACUGGGGAGUAUUUUGGUCGGGAGCAACAUGUUCUUGUUUGUGUCUAGAAAGGCCAGCUGACUGCUGUGGACUUUAAGUUUGUGGUGACGGGAACAACUACAAGACAGUUGGGAGGUUGGGGAAUAUGGUCAUUUGGGAGACGUGGGGGUGUCCCAGUUGGGUACGGAGAGGGUGGGCAGGCAGGAGAGAGAAGAAGGAAGUGGACCAGGGGUGCUCGAUGGUCUGGGAGCAUGAAGGAGAAGCCAUCCACCCCGACUCAAAUGACGAGGAGUUUGCUGCUUGAGGGAACCCGGGGGCUGGCCGUGCAGCACAAGGAGCAGAGACUGGCAGCAGCUUUUAUCCUAAGGUGGAUCUUUCUGCCUUUCUGGGCAGCCUCCCAAGUCUCUGCUCCAGGUGACCAGCUUCUCUCGAGGGCCCACGGCCAGCAUGACAGGACACAGCUACCAGCCUUUGCUGCACCCCAGAUGCUUGACUCCAGGGACCUCCACAACAGCAGCUCUGUGUCUAAUGCUCGAGCUCAGUUCCAAGGAGUCUGGUUGGGGUCACCUUUCUGAGCUGGGCUCCCAAGUCACAGCUGACACACCAACUUAUGGGUUUGUGUCCUUGGUUCAGGUAUCUGCUGUAAUCGGCUAUGCCCAGGGGUGUGGGAUGGGUUAAGAAUGACAAACCUCCAGGAUGGCAGUGAGCUGUCCUAGUGGAGGUCCUCACCUUGAUCACCCAGCCGCUAGCUAACUCACCAACCGACCACAGAUGCAGGAGAGCAGCUGAGACCAGCAGAAGAAUGGCCCAGCUGAGCACAGCCAGAGCUCUUGACCAAGAGAAUGAUGACAAAUGCAAUGGCUGUUGCUGUAAGCCACUAGUUUUGGGGAUGUUUAUUAUGCAGCAAAAGCUGACUGAAACAGAAAUUGGAAUCCAGAACUGGGGUGCUGUUGUACAAAAACCUAAACCAUGUGCCGUAGGUUUGGGACCAAACAGUGGGCAGAAAAUGGAGAAGUGGCAAGGAAACUAUUAGCAAGGGCUGAGAAAGUGGAAAACUGUUCGUGGAGUCUGGAAAGGUAUAAAAAAUGCUGCAGCUUCUGGAAAAAUGGUGUUACAUGGUAGCCCAACAUCUGGCAAAUGUUAUCUGCUGUAACUUAUAAGACAGAAAAUACACCUGACAAACUUGAGGGAUCUCAUCAAGAAGAUUUCUCAGUAGAAUGUUGAAACUGACAGGUAGUUUCAUUUCACUGUGUGAGAUCCAGAGAGAAAGAGAGAGAGAGGUGAGCUGAAAUGAGAACCACCCAGUUUGCAAGAGGAAUCUAGAGGAAGCAGAGAGGAGGCUGGGUUGCUGGACUGGAAUAAAACUGUUUUCAAGAAGUGGUCACGGGGUAAAGAUCAAAUCAAAUGUGUAGCUUAAGUCCUUUGUUAAAACCUCAGAAAGACUUCAGGCAGUGGCCAGAAGAGCCUCCCAGGGAAAUAAACAAACUUCUAAGAAUCUUAAGAGUGUUGUCCCAUAGCACCCUCAUAUCAUGCCCAAGUCAAAGAGAGGACUGUCUAGAAAAGAUCUGUGGGCAUGACGCUGUUGGGUGAAGAGGACUUGCCUCAUAUUCAUAAGUAAUUCACAGAGUUUUAAAGGGAAUUGUACUGGUGAAAGCCCCACAGUGCAAACUGAGACAGUUCAAGUUGCACACCGGCUUCUGGGUGCCUAAAUUUCAUUGUGGAAGAACCAGAGUGAGAAAAGCGAAUCAGUUGCCCAUGGGGGCCCUUCCUUAUGGAAAUAAAGGACUCCUGUGAGAGCAGAGCUCAGAGAACAGUGGACUGCAGCCCUGUCCUACUUAUAAAUCACAUGUCUUGUUUUUCCCAUUCCCUUGUCUCCCCUUCUCCAUUCUCUCACUUGUGCUUCCUGGGAUCAUCCUCAAAUACAUUUCUCCCAUUCCAGGCCUCAUCUUAGGGUCUAAUUUUGGAAAAACCAACUUAUGACUCUAGGCAACCCAUUUUGUCUCUGACUAUUUAUUAUUUAUUUGAGACAGAGUCUUGCUCUGUUGCCCAGACUGGAGUGC